ACCUGAUCACCUGAACCCUGACGAUGCCCAUUGCUGUAGGCUACACAAAAAACAUCUCCUGUUGCUUCUCCUGAGGACACAAAACCAGCUACAUAGCACACUCCUAAUGACUGAGCACGGAUCUGCUUGCCAAUUAAUAGAUCCACACUGGAGCCAAUUCAGUAUCUUGUUUGAAGGACAGUAUGCAAAUACUUAAUAAGUGAUGGUAGAUCAUGUAUAUAAAAUGAAAUGUGUGCAGUGAGGUAUGAGAUGUGAACACUAAAAGAGCACAAAUCCUGACUCCAGGCUCUCACCACUUUCUUCCUGGGUCCAGUUUGGGUCCAAGUUUGUGGGCAUAAGGAAAUAUCCUUGUUUUCCAUGUUUUUCCAUGAGUUUGAUGAAGAAAUACAGCAAAAUGAAAAGAAAAUGUAGUCACUGACAAGGUUUCCAGGCCCCAAAACAGAGAAGCAUCCCCAUAGCCUGAUAAUGCCUCUACCAUGCUUCAAGCUGUUGAAUUUGGAGGGACAAUAGCAUUCCUCAGUGGUUUAAGCCUAACGUCAUGCCUCACUCAACUCCACUUGGGAAUAGAACUAAUGAGCCUACACCCACUAAGCCAUAUGUUGGAGAACCUUUAAGCACUUGUGUCUAUAGUAUUCUGCAUGGUUCUCUUUGUUUAAGUAAAUGCAACCUGCUUUACCAUUUCAUUUAUUGGGUUUGUUUUGAAUUUAUAUGGUGCAAAAAUCCCCAAAUCCCCUCUAAUUCCAAUAUGCUGUGUGUUUGUUAUGAAUCUUUGUUAGAAGCGC
ensembl:lncRNA